rnacentral:rRNA from 1 species
UGGGGAAUCUUGGACAAUGGGGGAAACCCUGAUCCAGCGACGCCGCGUGGGUGAUGAAGGCCUUCGGGUCGUAAAGCCCUGUCGAAGGGGAAGAAACUCUUGCCGGUGAACAAUCGGCGAGAUUGACGGUACCCUUAAAGGAAGCACCGGCUAACUCUGUGCCAGCAGCCGCGGUAAGACAGAGGGUGCAAGCGUUGUUCGGAAUUACUGGGCGUAAAGGGCGCGUAGGCGGUCCGCUAAGUUCGGUGUGAAAUCCCCUGGCUCAACUGGGGAACGGCGCUGGAAACUGGUGGACUCGAGUACCGGAGAGGAGGGUGGAAUUCCUGGUGUAGCGGUGAAAUGCGUAGAUAUCAGGAGGAACACCGGUGGCGAAGGCGGCCCUCUGGACGGAUACUGACGCUGAGGCGCGAAAGCGUGGGGAUCAAACAGGAUUAGAUACCCCGGUAGUCC